rnacentral:rRNA from 1 species
CUAGCUAACUGAAAUCUUAAUUAAUAUUAAGAUAAAGUAAGAGAAAAUAAUGAUAUUAUCUUACUAUUAGUGUCGUCUAAAUUUGGUGCCAGAAGACUCGGUAAGACCCUAGACGCAAACGUUAAUCGUCAUAAUCAGGCGUAAAGGGUGUGUAGGCGGCUUUAAAAUAAUAUAUUUCUUAUAGCUAAUAAUAAAAUAUAUUCUAAUUAAAGCUAGAAUCUAAAAGAGGAUAAGCUAAACAACAUAAUUAAUUAGGAUUGACAACUUAUAAUAAUGUGGAGUACUAAAGGUUAAAGCUAUUUAUCUACUUAAGAUUGACGCUCAGAAACGAAGGGGAGAAUAAGAAACUUAGAUUAGAGACCUAAUUAUCUCUCUCAGUAAACGAUGAAUGGUAGUUAUUAAAAAUAAAAAUUAAUAAUAUUAAUAUUAUUAUUAUUAUAUGAUAUUAGUGACGAGGUUAACACGAUGACCAUUCCGCCUUGUUAGUAAGACUGCAAAGUUGAAAACAAAAAAAUUAGUCGG